rnacentral:rRNA from 1 species
CCGAUAGCGUAUAUUAAAGUUGUUGCAGUUAAAAAGCUCGUAGUUGAAUUUCGGGACCAAUAUGUCGGUCGUGCUUCGGUACGUACUUGCAUUAUUGGUUUCUCCCUUCUGAAGAACCAUGAUGUCAUUAAUUUGGUGUCUUGGGGAAUCAGGACUGUUACUUUGAAAAAAUUAGAGUGUUUAAAGCAGGCUCACGCUUGAAUACAUUAGCAUGGAAUAAUGAAAUAGGACGUUUGAUUCUAUUUUGUUGGUUUCUAGGAUCGACGUAAUGAUUAAUAGGGAUAGUUGGGGGCAUUAGUAUUCAAUUGUCAGAGGUGAAAUUCUUGGAUUUAUUGAAGACUAACUACUGCGAAAGCAUUUGCCAAGGAUGUUUUCAUUAAUCAAGAACGAAAGUUAGGGGAUUGAAGACGAUCAGAUACCGUCGUAGUCCUAACCAUAAACUAUGCCGACUAGGGAUCGGAUGAUGUUAUUUUUGAUGACUCAUUCGGCGCCUUACG